rnacentral:misc_RNA from 1 species
GAUGAAGAACGUAGUGAAAUGCGAUAAGUAGUGUGAAUUGCAGAAUUCAGUGAAUCAUCGAAUCUUUGAACGCACAUUGCGCCCCUUGGUAUUCCAUGGGGCAUGCCUGUUCGAGCGUCAUCUGCACCCUCAAGCACUGCUUGGUGAUGGGCGUCUGUCCCGCCUCUGCGCGCGGACUCGCCCCAAAGGUAUUGGCAGCGGUCCUGUCCGCCUCUCGCGCAGCACAGAUGCGCUUCUCGAGGCUUCGGGGCCCGCGUCCAUGAAGCUCUUUUACCACGUUUGACCUCGGAUCAGGUAGGGAUACCCGCUGAACUUAAGCAUAUCAAUAAGCGGAGGA